rnacentral:tRNA from 1 species
GGAGAGAUGGCAGAGCGGUUGAAUGCACUGGUCUUGAAAACCAGCGUACGUUAAUAGCGUACCUAGGGUUCGAAUCCCUAUCUCUCCG